CUUUCUGACAAGCUGCUUUGUCCUUCAGCAGGUAGAAGUUGGAAAUCAAGGGUGACAUAGCGGUAAUAUACUAUCCUCUCAUCUACUAGGCCUUGAUAGGUUUGAUUCCUGUACUUCAUGGUAACACAUAUUGUGCUCACUUCGUAGCAAGAUAUCCUUUACUUGUUGCAAUUCCAUUGGAAGCUAAAGAAAUCAUGUGGUGUUUAAGAACUGGUCCUCCUACAAGAAAAUCCUUUGAUUCAAGCGCAAGGAGCUUUUCAAGCUCUGAAGUUGAGUAAGAAUGUCUUUGGAAUGGUUGUAGGAGAUUCUCAUGAGGAUAAUCAAUCUAGAACAAUAAAUAAAUACAAUAAUAAUAAACAUGUCGUAUCAGAGCAUUACAUGUACUCAUGCAUUCAUGUGUCUCAAUUAACUAUACUCACAUGUGACGGCAAAGAAUAUAAUCAUGAACCAAUACAAUAAACAAUACGAAAACAUAGUUUUCUCAAACUGUGAAUUGAAAUACCACUUCUGACAUACCACUAUC